GACGAACGCUGGCGGCGUGCCUAAUACAUGCAAGUCGAACGCUGAAGAGCGGAGCCUGCCCUUCUUGGAAGAGAUGCGCAAAGGUGAGUAAAGCGUAGGUAAACCCUCUUGCAGAGGGGGAUACAUAUAGGGAACGCUAUCUAAUAUCGCAUAACACAGGAUGAAACACGUCAUUUAUUUUAAAGAGGUAAUUGUUCUACCACAAGAAGGUGCUGCGUUGUAUUAGUUAGUAGGUGAGGUCACGGCUCACCUAGGCGACGAUACAUAACCGACCUGGGAGGGUGGUCGGCCACCCUGGGACUGGGGCCCGGCCCAGGCUCCUUCGGGAGGCAGCCGUAAGGGAUCUUCGGCAAUGGGGGCAACCCUGACCGGGCCACGCCGCGUGGGUGAAGAAAGUAUUCGGAUCGGAAAGCUCUGUUUGUAGUCAAGGACGGGUGUGGGAGUGGAAAGUUUACGCAGUGACGGUAGCUUACCAGAAAGGGACGGCUAACUACGUG
rnacentral:rRNA from 1 species